GACAGAGGUUGCAAACGUUGUUCGGAAUCACUGGGCAUAAAGCGCACGUAGGCGGUCUGUUAAGUCAGGUGUGAAAGCCCCCGGCUCAACCGGGGAACAGCAUCUGAUACUGGCAGACUCGAGGAUGGUAGGGGUGAGUGGAACUCCAGGUGGAGCGGUGAAAUGCGUAGAUAUCUGGAGGAACACCAGUGGCGAAAGCAGCUCGCUGGACCAUAACUGACGCUGAGGUGCGAAAGCUAGGGUAGCAAACGGG
rnacentral:rRNA from 1 species